CAUUAUAAACACAGUCAGGUUCAUUCUCAGGGCAACCUGUUAGAUACAAAGGUACUAGCCCUCUUGAGGCCACGUGGUAUAGGAAGAAGAGGCUAGACUACGACAAAAGGAGAAUAAAAAGAGGAUUUUUCUUUCUCUGCUAAAGUUGAGUGCAACUUGGGACUGGAAGCUUCUCACCAGAAGCCUGCUGGGGUACAUGCCUCACUAUAAGGCUGUGAGACCAUUGCUGCUGCCAGGUUAGAGGCUGAUCUAAGGAAGGACCAUUAUUCUACCCCAAAUGGAAUUGGGCCUUUACCCUUGAAGAUGCAAAGCAGGAGUUGAUAUGUGAGAUUAUUGUUAAAGGAUUUUCUAAGCAUCUGAAGAUGAAAUCAAGAGCCAUGGAUUGAAUAAACAGACUGAGAAGCUUCAUUAACUUUUUUCAAGCUAAUGGGGGAAUGAGGGCAUCCAUCUGCAAACCAGGAAGAGGACUCUCACCAGGAACCCAAUUGACUGGAACUAUGAUCUUGAACUCCCCAGCCUCCAGAACUGUGUUAAAUAAAUUUCUGUGUAUGCCGCUCA